GACGAACGCUGGCGGCGUGCCUAAUACAUGCAAGUCGAACGCUGAAGGAGGAGCUUGCUCUUCUGGAUGAGUUGCGAACGGGUGAGUAACGCGUGGGUAACCUGCCUGGUAGCGGGGGAUAACUAUUGGAAACGAUAGCUAAUACCGCAUAACAGUAGAUGUUGCAUGACAUUUGCUUAAAAGGUGCAAUUGCAUCACUACCAGAUGGACCUGCGUUGUAUUAGCUAGUUGGUGGGGUAACGGCUCACCAAGGCGACGAUACAUAGCCGACCUGAGAGGGUGAUCGGCCACACUGGGACUGAGACACGGCCCAGACUCCUACGGGAGGCAGCAGUAGGGAAUCUUCGGCAAUGGACGGAAGUCUGACCGAGCAACGCCGCGUGAGUGAAGAAGGGUUUCGGAUCGUAAAGCUCUGUUGUAAGAGAAGAACGAGUGUGAGAGUGGAAAGUUCACACUGUGACGGUAUCUUACCAGAAAGGGACGGCUAACUACGUG
rnacentral:rRNA from 1 species